GUUUGACAGUUUAACAUAUGUCAUUUGAUAAUUUGACAAUUAAAAAAAGAAAUAUUAAAUAAAGUUAAAUAUACUUAAUAAAUAUAAAAAGAAAAAGGAAAAAGGAGAGACGAAUGAAGAAAGUUAAAGAAAAAACGAAAAAUAAACGAGAGAGAGAGAGAGAGAGAGAGAGAGAGAGAGAGAGAGAGAGACAGAAGGAAAAUAAAAGGAGAAGGCAUAGAAUAUCAGUUAAAAAGAGACAAAAAAUAGAAAAAAGAAAGAGAUAUAGAAAAGGAGAAGAAAAGAGAGAGACGGUAGAAAAAGAAGGAAGCUUUAUUUAAAAUUAAAGAAGAAUAAGCAAAAAAGAAGGAGAAAGAGAAAGAGAGAGAGGAAGAGAGACAGAAGAAAAAAAGAAGGAAUAUAAUAUUAGAAGAGACAAAGAAUAAGAAAAAGAAAGAGAGAGAGAGGGAGAAAAAGAGAAAGAAGGAAGCUUUAUUUAAAAUUAAAAAAGAAUAAGCAAAAGAGAAGGAAAGAGAGGGAGAGAGACAGAAGAAGAAAAGAAAGAAUAUAA